rnacentral:rRNA from 1 species
UACGGGGGGGGCAAGCGUUGUUCGGAAUUACGGGGCGUAAAGGGCUCGUAGGUGGCCAACUAAGUCAGACGUGAAAUCCCUCGGCUUAACCGGGGAACUGCGUCUGAUACUGGAUGGCUUGAGUUUGGGAGAGGGACGCGGAAUUCCAGGUGUAGCGGUGAAAUGCGUAGAUAUCUGGAAGAACACCAAAGGCGAAGGCAGCGUCCUGGGAAGUGACUGACGCUCAUGUGCGAAAGCUAGGGGAGCGAACGGG